rnacentral:rRNA from 1 species
CACGAACCGCAGGCGGCGUGCCUAAUACAUGCAAGUAGAACGCUGAAGAGAGGGGCUUGCCCUUCUUGGAUGAGUUGCGAACGGGUGAGUAACGCGUAGGUAACCUGCCUUGUAGCGGGGGAUAACUAUUGGAAACGAUAGCUAAUACCGCAUAACAAUGGAUGACCCAUGUCAUUUAUUUGAAAGGGGCAAAUGCUCCACUACAAGAUGGACCUGCGUUGUAUUAGCUAGUAGGUGAGGUAACGGCUCACCUAGGCGACGAUACAUAGCCGACCUGAGAGGGUGAUCGGCCACACUGGGACUGAGACACGGCCCAGACUCCUACGGGAGGCAGCAGUAGGGAAUCUUCGGCAAUGGGGGCAACCCUGACCGAGCAACGCCGCGUGAGUGAAGAAGGUUUUCGGAUCGUAAAGCUCUGUUGUAAGUCAAGAACGAGUGUGAGAGUGGAAAGUUCACACUGUGACGGUAGCUUACCAGAAAGGGACGGCUAACUACGUGCCAGCAGCCGCGGUAAUACGUAGGUCCCGAGCGUUGUCCGGAUUUAUUGGACGUAAAGCGAGCGCAGGCGGUUUGAUAAGUCUGAAGUUAAAGGCUGUGGCUCAACCAUAGUUCGCUUUGGAAACUGUCAAACUUGAGUGCAGAAGGGGAGAGUGGAAUUCCAUGUGUAGCGGUGAAAUGCGUAGAUAUAUGGAGGAACACCGGUGGCGAAAGCGGCUCUCUGGUCUGUAACUGACGCUGAGGCUCGAAAGCGUGGGGAGCGAACAGG